rnacentral:rRNA from 1 species
AACGAACGCUGGCGGCAGGCCUAACACAUGCAAGUCGAGCGCCCUUUCGGGGGAGCGGCGGACGGGUGAGUAACGCGUGGGAAUAUGCUCUUCUCUACGGAAUAGCCUCGGGAAACUGAGAGUAAUACCGUAUACGCCCUCUGGGGGAAAGAUUUAUCGGGGAAGGAUUAGCCCGCGUUGGAUUAGGUAGUUGGUGGGGUAAUGGCCUACCAAGCCGACGAUCCAUAGCUGGUUUGAGAGGAUGAUCAGCCACACUGGGAGUGAGACACGGCCCAGACUCCUACGGGAGGGAGCAGUGGGGGAUCUUAGACAAUGGGGGCAACCCUGAUCGAGCCAUGCCGCGUGAGUGAUGAAGGCCUUAGGGUUGUAAAGCUCUUUCAGCUGGGAAGAUAAUGACGGUACCAGCAGAAGAAGCCCCGGCUAACUCCGUG